rnacentral:rRNA from 1 species
UACGAAGGGGGCUAGCGUUGCUCGGAAUCACUGGGCGCAAAGCGCACGUAGGCGGCUUGUUAAGUCAGGGGUGAAAUCCCGGAGCUCAACUCCGGAACUGCCUUUGAUACUGGCGAGCUUGAGUCCGGGAGAGGUGAGUGGAACUGCGAGUGUAGAGGUGAAAUUCGUAGAUAUUCGCAAGAACACCAGUGGCGAAGGCGGCUCACUGGCCCGGUACUAACGCUGAGGUGCGAAAGCGUGGGGAGCAAACAGG